UAGAUACCCUGGUAGUCCAUGCCGUAAACGUUGGGCGCUAGGUGUGGGACUCAUUCCACGAGUUCCGUGCCGCAGCUAACGCAUUAAGCGCCCCGCCUGGGGAGUACGGCCGCAAGGCUAAAACUCAAAGGAAUUGACGGGGGCCCGCACAAGCGGCGGAGCAUGCGGAUUAAUUCGAUGCAACGCGAAGAACCUUACCAAGGCUUGACAUAUACCGGAAACUUCCAGAGAUGGUUGCCCCCUUUGGGUC
rnacentral:rRNA from 1 species